rnacentral:rRNA from 1 species
UACGACUACAUAUCAGGCAUAUCAAUAAGCGGAGGAAAAGAAACUAACAAGGAUUCCCUUAGUAACGGCGAGUGAAGCGGGAAGAGCUCAAAUUUGAAAUCUUCAAGGUUCUACCUUGACGAAUUGUAGUUUAUAGAAGUGUUUUCUGUUAGUGGAGUGGCAAAAGUUCUUUGGAAUAGGACAUCAUAGAGGGUGAGAAUCCCGUAUUUGGUCAUUCCUCCUAGCGUUGUGAUACACUUUCAACGAGUCGGAUUGUUUGGGAAUGCAGUCCAAAAUGGGUGGUAAAUUUCACCUAAAGCUAAAUAUUGGCGAGAGACCGAUAGCGAACAAGUACCGUGAGGGAAAGAUGAAAAGAACUUUGAAAAGAGAGUUAAACAGUACGUGAAAUUGUCAAAAGGGAAGCGUUUGACACCAGUGUUGUUUUUCCGAAAAUCAAUUACGAAUGUUUUGUUUUUGAGGAGUUAUGACUUCAUCGGCUUGCUCCUUUCUUUAUGAAACUUUCUUAAUGCACUUUUCGGUUAACAAGUCAACAUCAAUCUCUUUUGUUGUAAAAGGGUAUGAGGAAGGUGGCUUUCUUUUCGGAGAAAGUGUUUAUAGCCUUGUGCCUCUGCAAUCGGAGAGAUUGAGGUCUGCAGCGUAGAUCCUUCGGGGUUAGAUACGUUUGUGCUAAGUUAUAGCUUUUCAUAGACAACUUGUUGACUAUGUUUAGUCUUGUAGCUUACUCGCUGAUGCUAUUUUACCUACGCUUAGGAUGUUGAUCUCUCACAGUCGAGC